GGAGUUGUGGCUCAGUGGUAGAGUGCUCAGCUAGCAUGUGUGAGGCCCUGGGUUCGAUCCUCAGCACCA
rfam:Ictidomys tridecemlineatus contig093619, whole genome shotgun sequence.